AUACGGAGGGGGCGAGCGUUAUUCGGAAUCAUUGGGCGUAAAGGGCGCGUAGGCGGCCUGACAAGUCAGGGGUGAAAUCCCUCGGCUCAACCGAGGAACUGCCUCUGAAACUGUCAGGCUUGAGGCCGGGAGAGGGUAGUGGAAUUCCCAGCGUAGCGGUGAAAUGCGUAGAUAUUCGGAGGAACACCAGUGGCGAAGGCGGCUACCUGGACCGGUUCUGACGCUGAGGCGCGAAAGUGUGGGGAGCAAACAGGAUUAGAAACCCUAGUAGUCC
rnacentral:rRNA from 1 species